rnacentral:lncRNA from 1 species
GGCCAUUUUAUUUCUCCUUCUUGUCCUUACUGCAGCCUAUCUUGGUUUGUAGGACCCGAACUCCCCUCUUUUACAGUAACUCCUAUCUUUCUCAAGUCUAAAACAUACUCCCAGUAGUACAGAAAUUCUAAGACUCCCAGAGGAUUUGUUAGUGGGAUCCUAAUGGCCAGUCUCAACCAGAUAUACAUGCUCUUCCUCUUCUCAUCCUCUCUCGUCCUUUCUUUCCUCUUAGAACCGCUUCAGAAAAGAUACCUUUAGAAUCUGGAUAAGGCUCACCCUGAUACACUGUUCAACCUGUGAAUAUGGGCCUCAGUCUGAGGACAGAUUUAACAGACAGAAGAAAAAGAGGAAAAACAAGCUCACCAGAUUUCAUCAAUAUUUCCCUGAGAGUGGAUCUUUGGUUCUGACCCCAGAACCAGAAGCUGGCGCAACUCCAAGGCCAUGGCACCAACCACCACAGUACCAUAGCUGCCAGCAGGAAAUAACGUCCUGAAAACAGAAUCUCAAGCAGAAAACAGAGUCUCAAGCCAC